rnacentral:rRNA from 1 species
CUGGGAGGACCAUCUCCUAAGGCUAAAUACUCUCUAGUGACCGAUAGUGAACCAGUACCGUGAGGGAAAGGUGAAAAGCACCCCGGAAGGGGAGUGAAAUAGAACCUGAAACCGUGUGCUUACAAGUAGUCAGAGCCCGUUAAUGGGUGAUGGCGUGCCUUUUGUAGAAUGAACCGGCGAGUUACGAUUUGAUGCAAGGUUAAGCAGUAAAUGUGGAGCCGUAGCGAAAGCGAGUCUGAAUAGGGCGUUUAGUAUUUGGUCGUAGACCCGAAACCAGGUGAUCUACCCUUGGUCAGGUUGAAGUUCAGGUAACACUGAAUGGAGGACCGAACCGACUUACGUUGAAAAGUGAGCGGAUGAACUGAGGGUAGCGGAGAAAUUCCAAUCGAACCUGGAGAUAGCUGGUUCUCUCCGAAAUAGCUUUAGGGCUAGCCUCAAGUGAUGAUUAUUGGAGGUAGAGCACUGUUUGGACGAGGGGCCCCUCUCGGGUUACCGAAUUCAGACAAACUCCGAAUGCCAAUUAAUUUAACUUGGGAGUCAGAACAUGGGUGAUAAGGUCCGUGUUCGAAAGGGAAACAGCCCAGACCACCAGCUAAGGUCCCAAAAUAUAUGUUAAGUGGAAAAGGAUGUGGCGUUGCCCAGACAACUAGGAUGUUGGCUUAGAAGCAGCCAUCAUUUAAAGAGUGCGUAAUAGCUCACUAGUCGAGUG